CUUGCCCCCGGGUCCCAGCCAUGAAGGUUUUCAGAGUAUCCAAGGUUUUUCAGAUCACUGCAAUCCACCCGAAGAUGGUAAAUGGCACUCAACAGUCCCUC